GAUCCUGCUCAGGAUGAACGCUGGCGGCGUGCCUAACACAUGCAAGUCGAGCGAAGCGGUUUUGAGGAAGUUUUCGGAUGGAAUUAAAACUGACUGAGCGGCGGACGGGUGAGUAACGCGUGGGUAACCUGCCUCAUACAGGGGGAUAACAGUUAGAAAUGGCUGCUAAUACCGCAUAAGCACACAGCUUCGCAUGGAGCAGUGUGAAAAACUCUGGUGGUAUGAGAUGGACCCGCG
rnacentral:rRNA from 1 species